AAGUCGUAACAAGGUUUCCGUAGGUGAACCUGCGGAAGGAUCAUUAUUGAAUAAACUUGAUGGGUUGUUGCUGGCUUCUAGGAGCAUGUGCACGCCUGUCAUCUUUAUCCAUCCACCUGUGCACCUUCUGUAGUCUUGGAGUUAAUGAGCGUGAAACUAGUCGAGGUAAACUCGGAUAGAGGUCUGCCAUGGGCUGACCUUGGUACUCGCGCGAGUUUCUCUGAGUCUAUGUCUUUCAUAUACCACGUAGAAUGUCUUAGAAUGUUGUCAUUAGGUCUUAGUGCCUAUAAAACACAAUACAACUUUCAGCAACGGAUCUCUUGGCUCUC
rnacentral:misc_RNA from 1 species